CGAGCGACAGACAAGGAGCUUGCUCCUUUGACGUUAGCGGCGGACGGGUGAGUAACACGUGGGUAACCUACCUAUAAGACUGGGAUAACUUCGGGAAACCGGAGCUAAUACCGGAUAAUAUUUCGAACCGCAUGGUUCGAUAGUGAAAGAUGGUUUUGCUAUCACUUAUAGAUGGACCCGCGCCGUAUUAGCUAGUUGGUAAGGUAACGGCUUACCAAGGCGACGAUACGUAGCCGACCUGAGAGGGUGAUCGGCCACACUGGAACUGAGACACGGUCCAGACUCCUACGGGAGGCAGCAGUAGGGAAUCUUCCGCAAUGGGCGAAAGCCUGACGGAGCAACGCCGCGUGAGUGAUGAAGGUCUUCGGAUCGUAAAACUCUGUUAUUAGGGAAGAACAUACGUGUAAGUAACUAUGCACGUCUUGACGGUACCUAAUCAGAAAGCCACGGCUAACUACGUGCCAGCAGCCGCGGUAAUACGUAGGUGGCAAGCGUUAUCCGGAAUUAUUGGGCGUAAAGCGCGCGUAGGCGGUUUUUUAAGUCUGAUGUGAAAGCCCACGGCUCAACCGUGGAGGGUCAUUGGAAACUGGAAAACUUGAGUGCAGAAGAGGAAAGUGGAAUUCCAUGUGUAGCGGUGAAAUGCGCAGAGAUAUGGAGGAACACCAGUGGCGAAGGCGACUUUCUGGUCUGUAACUGACGCUGAUGUGCGAAAGCGUGGGGAUCAAACAGGAUUAGAUACCCUGGUAGUCCACGCCGUAAACGAUGAGUGCUAAGUGUUAGGGGGUUUCCGCCCCUUAGUGCUGCAGCUA
rnacentral:rRNA from 1 species